rnacentral:rRNA from 1 species
UACGUAGGGUGCGAGCGUUGUCCGGAAUUACUGGGCGUAAAGAGCUCGUAGGUGGUUUGUCGCGUUGUUCGUGAAAACUCACAGCUCAACUGUGGGCGUGCGGGCGAUACGGGCAGACUAGAGUACUGCAGGGGAGACUGGAAUUCCUGGUGUAGCGGUGGAAUGCGCAGAUAUCAGGAGGAACCCCGGUGGCGAAGGCGGGUCUCUGGGCAGUAACUGACGCUGAGGAGCGAAAGCGUGGGGAGCGAACAGG